rnacentral:rRNA from 1 species
AUUGAACGCUAGCGGCAUGCUUAACACAUGCAAGUCGAACGGGUAACAGGCCUAGCUUGCUAGGUGCUGACGAGUGGCGAACGGGUGAGUAACGCGUAGGAAUCUACCUCGUAGUGGGGGACAACCCGAGGAAACUCGGGCUAAUACCACAUAAUCUCUACGGAGCAAAGGGGGCCUCUAUUUAUAAGCUCUCGCUAUGAGAAGAGCCUGCGUCAGAUUAGCUGUUGGUGGGGUAAAGGCCUACCAAGGCAACGAUCUGUAGCUGGUCUGAGAGGACGAUCAGCCACACUGGGACUGAGACACGGCCCAGACUCCUACGGGAGGCAGCAGUGGGGAAUAUUGGACAAUGGGCGAAAGCCUGAUCCAGCAAUGCCGCGUGUGUGAAGAAGGCCU